AGAGUUUGAUCAUGGCUCAGGACGAACGCUGGCGGCGUGCUUAACACAUGCAAGUCGAGCGGAAAGGCCCCUUCGGGGGUACUCGAGCGGCGAACGGGUGAGUAACACGUGAGCAACCUGCCCCUGACUCUGGGAUAAGCCUGGGAAACCGGGUCUAAUACCGGAUACGACCAUUGCGGGCAUCCGUUGGUGGUGGAAAGUUUUUUCGGUCGGGGAUGGGCUCGCGGCCUAUCAGCUUGUUGGUGGGGUGACGGCCUACCAAGGCGACGACGGGUAACCGGCCUGAGAGGGCGACCGGUCACACUGGGACUGAGACACGGCCCAGACUCCUACGGGAGGCAGCAGUGGGGAAUAUUGCGCAAUGGGCGGAAGCCUGACGCAGCGACGCCGCGUGGGGGAUGACGGCCUUCGGGUUGUAAACCUCUUUCAGCGGGGACGAAGCCCUUUGGGGUGACGGUACCUGCAGAAGAAGCGCCGGCUAACUACGUGCCAGCAGCCGCGGUAAUACGUAGGGCGCGAGCGUUGUCCGGAAUUAUUGGGCGUAAAGAGCUCGUAGGCGGUUUGUCGCGUCGGAUGUGAAAGCCCAUGGCUUAACUGUGGGUCUGCAUUCGAUACGGGCAGACUAGAGGUAGGUAGGGGAGCAUGGAAUUCCCGGUGUAGCGGUGAAAUGCGCAGAUAUCGGGAGGAACACCGGUGGCGAAGGCGGUGCUCUGGGCCUUACCUGACGCUGAGGAGCGAAAGCGUGGGGAGCGAACAGGAUUAGAUACCCUGGUAGUCCACGCCGUAAACGUUGGGCGCUAGGUGUGGGGUUCUUCCACGGAUUCCGCGCCGUAGCUAACGCAUUAAGCGCCCCGCCUGGGGAGUACGGCCGCAAGGCUAAAACUCAAAUGAAUUGACGG
rnacentral:rRNA from 1 species